CCAAUAGCGUAUAUUAAAGUUGUUGCAGUUAAAAAGCUCGUAGUUGAAUUUCGGGGUUAGUAGGCUGGUCAUGCCUCUGGUAUGUACUGGUCUCACUGAUUCCUCCUUCCUGAUGAACCGUAAUGCCAUUAAUUUGGUGUUGCGGGGAAUUUGGACUGUUACUUUGAAAAAAUUAGAGUGUUUAAAGCAAGCUAACGCUUGAAUACAUUAGCAUGGAAUAAUGAAAUAGGACGUUCGAUCCUAUUUUGUUGGUUUCUAGGAUUGACGUAAUGAUUAAUAGGGAUAGUUGGGGGCAUUAGUAUUCAAUUGUCAGAGGUGAAAUUCUUGGAUUUAUUGAAGACUAACUACUGCGAAAGCAUUUGCCAAGGAUGUUUUCAUUAAUCAAGAACGAAAGUUAGGGGAUCGAAGACGAUCAGAUACCGUCGUAGUCUUAACCAUAAACUAUGCCGACUAGGGAUCGGAUGAUGUUAAUUUUUUAAUGACUCAUUCGGCGCCUUACG
rnacentral:rRNA from 1 species